rnacentral:rRNA from 1 species
CCUACGUGUGGCAGCAGUAGGGAAUAUUGCUCAAUGGGGGAAACGCUGAAGCAGCAAAGCCGCGUGGAGGAUGAAGGUUUUCGGAUUGUAAACUCCUUUUGUGAGAGAAGAUAAAGAUGGGAUUAAACGAAUAAGCAACGGACAAAUACGUGCCAGAAGGCGCGGUAAUACGGAGGGUGUAAGCGUUACUCGGAAUCACUGGGCGUAAAGCGCGCGUAGGCGGGAUAGCAAGUCAGAUGUGAAAACCUAUAGCUUAACCCUAGAACUGCAUUUGAAACUGUUAUUCUAGAGUAUGGGAGAGGUAGGUAGAAUUCUUGGUGUAGCGGUGAAAUGCGUAGAGAGCACGAGGAAUACUGAUUGCGAAGGCAGCCUGCUGGAACAUAACUGACGCUGAUGCGCGAAAGCGUGGGGAGCAAACAGGAUUAGAUACCCGAGUAGUC